GAUGAACGCUGGCGGCGUGCCUAAUACAUGCAAGUCGAGCGAACAGACGAGGAGCUUGCUCCUCUGACGUUAUCGGCGCACGUGUGAGUAACACGUGUAUAACCUACCUAUAAGACUGGUAUAACUUCGGGAAACCGGCGCUUAUCCCAUAUAAUAUAUUGACCCAUAUGGUUCAAUAAUAAAAGACGGUUUUGCUAUCACUUAUAGAUGGAUCCUCGCCGCAUUAGCUAGUUGAUAAGGUAACGGCUUACCACGGCAACGAUGCGUAGCCGACCUGAGAGGGUGAUCGGCCACACUGGAACUGAGACACGGUCCAGACUCCUACGGGAGGCAGCAGUAGGGAAUCUUCCGCAAUGGGCGAAGGCCUGACGGAGCAACGCCGCGUGAGUGAUGAAGGUCUUGGGAUCGUAAAACUCGGUUAUUAGGGAAGAACAAAUGUGGAAGUAACUAUGCACGUCGUGACGGUACCUAAUCAGAAAGCCACGGCUAACUACGUG
rnacentral:rRNA from 1 species